rnacentral:rRNA from 1 species
AUUGAACGCUGGCGGCAGGCCUAACACAUGCAAGUCGAGCGGUUGAGGUAGCUUGCUACCGAUGCAGCGGCGAACGGGUGAGUAAUACAUGGGAAUCUGCCUGGUAGUGGGGGACAACGUCUCGAAAGGGACGCUAAUACCGCAUACGCCCUACGGGGGAAAGGGGGGGAUCUUCGGACCUCUCGCUAUCAGAUGAGCCCAUGUCAGAUUAGCUAGUUGGUGGGGUAAAGGCUCACCAAGGCGACGAUCUGUAACUGGUCUGAGAGGAUGAUCAGGCACACUGGAACUGAGACACGGGCCAGACUCCUACGGGAGGCAGCAGUGGGGAAUAUUGGACAAUGGGCGCAAGCCUGAUCCAGCCAUGCCGCGUGUGUGAAGAAGGCCUUAGGGUUGUAAAGCACUUUCAGUGGGGAGAAAGGUUAUUCACCUAAUACGUGAGUAAAUUGAUGUUACCCACAGAAGAAGCACCGGCUAACUCCGUGCCAGCAGCCGCCGCAG